rnacentral:rRNA from 1 species
GACGAACGCUGGCGGCGUGCUUAACACAUGCAAGUCGAACGGAAAGGCCUGUCCUUCCUUGUGUUGGACGGGUACUCGAGUGGCGAACGGGUGAGUAACACGUGAGUGAUCUGCCCCCAACUUGGGUAUAAGCCUGGGAAACUGGGUCUAAUUCCCGAUAGGACUGCAGGGUGGUGCCUGUGGUGGAACACGAUUUUCUAGUGGUUGGGGAUGAGCUCGCGGCCUAUCAGCUUGUUGGUGGGGUAAUGGCCUACCAAGGCGGCGACGGGUAGCCGGCCUGAGAGGGUGGACGGCCACAUUGGGACUGAGAUACGGCCCAGACUCCGACGGGAGGCAGCAGUGGGGAAUAGUGCACAAUGGGCGGAAGCCUGAUGCAGCGACGCCGCGUGGGGGAUGACGGCCUUCGGGUGGUAAACUCCUUUCGACCGCGAGGAAGCCGCCUGGUUGGAAGGGUGGUGACGGUAGUGGUAGAAGAAGCACCGGCUAACUACGUG